GAUUACCAUCACGAUGGAUGU
rnacentral:siRNA from 1 species